GAUGAACGCUGGCGGCGUGCUUAACACAUGCAAGUCGAGCGAAGCACUCUGGAAGAUUCCUUCGGGAUGAUUCCUCUGUGACUUAGCGGCGGACGGGUGAGUAACGCGUGGGCAACCUGCCUUGUACAGGGGGAUAACAGUUAGAAAUGACUGCUAAUACCGCAUAAGCGCACAGCAUGGCAUCAUGCAGUGUGAAAAACUCCGGUGGUACAAGAUGGGCCCGCGUUGGAUUAGCUAGUUGGUGGGGUAACGGCCCACCAAGGCGACGAUCCAUAGCCGGACUGAGAGGUCGAACGGCCACAUUGGGANUGAGACACGGCCCAGACUCCUACGGGAGGCAGCAGUGGGGAAUAUUGCACAAUGGAGGAAACUCUGAUGCAGCGACGCCGCGUGAGUGAUGAAGUAUU
rnacentral:rRNA from 1 species